rnacentral:rRNA from 1 species
AUUGAACGCUGGCGGCAGGCCUAACACAUGCAAGUCGAACGAAUGGCGGACGGGUGAGUAAUGUCUGGGAAACUGCCUGAUGGAGGGGGAUAACUACUGGAAACGUUAGCUAAUACCGCAUACGAUCAGAUCUGCCCAGAGUGGAUUAGCUUGUUGGUGAGGUAACGGCUCACCAAGGCGACGAUGCAUAGCUGGUCUGAGAGGAUGACCAGCCACACUGGAACGGAGACACGGCCCAGACUCCUACGGGAGGCAGCAGUGGGGAAUAUUGCACAAUGGGCGCAAGUCUGAUACAGCCAUGCCGCGUGUAUGAAGAAGGCCUUCGGGUUGUAAAGCACUUUCAGCGGGGAGGCGUUACCCGCAGAAGAAGCACCGGCUAACUCCGUGCCAGCAGCCGCGGUAAUUC